GGUGUACAACAUUUUAGUUCGACAUCUGUAUACACUAUGAGGUGAUCACCCCUAAAAGUCUGUCACCCUCCGUCACCAUACAAUCGACUCCCUUUGCCGAUGUCACUCACCCCCUGACGAGUAUUUUCUGAGUGUGGGGAUGCAGUAUGGACAAGACAGAUGAGCUUCUGCUUCUGUGGGGUGUCAAAUAAUAAAUUCGCAAAGAAGAUAAUUUCAGGUGGUGGAAGAUCAGCCCUGAGCUAACAUCUGCUGCCAAUCCUCCUCUUUUUGCUGAGGAAGACUGGCCCUGAGCUAACAUCCAUGCUCAUCUUCCUCUACUUUAUAUGUGGGACUCCUGCCACAGCAUGGCUUGACAAGCCGUGCCAUCUCCGCACCCAGGAUCUGAACCGGCGAACCCCAGAAUGCCGAAGCGGAACGUGCAAACUUAACCGCUGCACCACCGGGCUGGCCCCUCAUGUUUUACUUUUAAGAGCAAUAGUGUAUUUCUUGAGGAUAUUUUCUUCCACCAUAGUUAUCACACAAAUUACUCCGACAGCUGACCCUCAAGGUGUGUCAGAGUCCAAAGGCAGAUACCAAAAUUGUAUUAGGUAAGAGGCCCUGAAAUGCUGCCCCCAUGUACUUCCCUUCUCCUCUUCCACCAUUAAAUACUCCUCUGGAUUUCACUGGCUUUCCCAUAUUUGCUCCGCUUGCACGUCAUCCACUCCAUUUUUGCCGACUCUACCUACCACUGUGCACUAUCCUUGUGAUUGUUGUACUUCCUCUGCUCUUAUUUACUUCAUAUUUAUUUUUAAAUUAAUCACAUUUUAUUAUUAUUUUAAGAGGAAACUUUUGGAAGCAACCUAAGUGUUGACAAAUGAAUGGAUAAAGAAAAUGUGGUAUACAUAUACAAUGGAAUAUUAUUCAGCCAUAAAAAGAAGGAAAUCUUGCCAUUCACAACAACAUGGAUGGACCUUGAGGGCAUUAUGCUAAGUGAAAUAAGUCAGACUGAGAAAGACAAAUACUGUAUUAUCUCAUUUAUGUGUAGAAUCUAAAAAAAACAAAAACAAAAAAUCGAACUCAUGGAUACUGAGAAGAACAGAUUGAUGGUUGCCAGAGGCAGGGCGUGGAGAGUGCGUGAAAUGGGUGAAGGGAGUCAAAAGGUACAAAUUUCCAGCUAUAAAAUGAAUCAGUCCUGUGGAUGUACUGUGCAGCCUGGUGACUAUAGUUAACAAUUCUAUAUUGUAUAUUUGAAAGUUGCUAAGAGAGUAGAUCUUAAAAGUUCUCAUCACAAGAAAGAAAAUUUGUAACUGUGUGGUGAUGGAUGUUAACCAGAUUUAUUGUGGUGAUCAUUUCACAAUACAUACAAAUAUCGAAUCAUUGUGUUGUAUCUGAAACUAAUGUUAUAUGUCAAUUAUAUUUCUAUUUUUUAAAAUGUACAAAGUCUGUAAAUUACUCUGAGAUGGUUUAGCAAUAAAAUAAAAUACGUAUGUUAGUAUGUACAAAAAAAGAAAGAGGAAA
rnacentral:lncRNA from 1 species